rnacentral:rRNA from 1 species
AACGAACGCUGGCGGCAUGCCUAACACAUGCAAGUCGAACGAGACCUUCGGGUCUAGUGGCGCACGGGUGCGUAACGCGUGGGAACCUGCCCUUAGGUUCGGAAUAACUCCCCGAAAGGGGUGCUAAUACCGGAUAAUGUCUUCGGACCAAAGAUUUAUCGCCUUUGGAUGGGCCCGCGUUGGAUUAGCUAGUUGGUAGGGUAAAAGCCUACCAAGGCGACGAUCCAUAGCUGGUCUGAGAGGAUGAUCAGCCACACUGGGACUGAGACACGGCCCAGACUCCUACGGGAGGCAGCAGUGGGGGAUAUUGGACAAUGGGCGAAAGCCUGAUCCAGCAAUGCCGCGUGAGUGAUGAAGGCCUUAGGGUUGUAAAGCUCUUUUACCCGGGAUGAUAAUGACAGUACCGGGAGAAUAAGCUCCGGCUAACUACGUG